AGAUUUUUCUCACCAGCAGUGUGGUGAACAUUGCCCUUCUUAGAACUAGGGCUCAUCAAUUAACUGUGUAACUGUAGUGCAUCUAUGCUACCUCGGAUGUAUUUUUCUUUUUGAAACUCUUGGGCAGUGAUCUUGCAUAUAUACUUGUCUUUCAUCCUGAGCUAUGCGUCCUCGUUAUUUAUCCGGAUUCUUUGCUUUUCUUCCUGAAAGAAUGAUGGUCAUAGUUAAUUUGUAUUGGAUUGGGAUAUUUAUACUUGGGGAACAGAAAGUUAUUUCAUUUCCUUCGCGGGCUCUGCGGCGACAACGAAAAAAUAAUUUCAAUUUUGUUUGCUGUGUGCCUGUGCUAUUCACUGUCAGUAAUUGAUUUCAGAAACUGGCAAAGCUUUGACAAUGUAAGAGUUACUUGAUAAUUAGUCAAGCUGUCAUAUGUACACAAUGAUACAUCAGUUCAUCCUUCACUUGGGAACUUAUACCUUUGCUUUGAAUCCAUAUGUUUCAUUCUGUAAGCAACCUAGAUUAGGCCCUUAUUUGGAUGCCUCUUAUUUAAAUCUCGGCUACUCGGAUUAAAGAAACCCUAACGACAUCUCAACCUUGCCCAGAAAUGAUUUGGAUCUACUUAUUCUGUUCCAACUGAGCUGGUUGCCGUCCCAAUUAGCCGUGAAUUGACAUGUAGAUAAAUUGGGAAAACCUAUGAUUUGUUUCAUUGUGGCUCUCCCUCCUUACAUUGUAUAUAAAUUGUAGUAUAAAUCUUCUUUAACACAAGGUGGGUUUAUUACUAGUAUUAAACUGCAUCAGGUUCAUUAAUAGGUUAGUCUUUCACCAAUUUGUUUCUUUUGCAGAACUUCUUCUUUGUGGUGGUUCUUGCUGGCUACAUCAUUUGCAUGUACGGGGCUCUCAAGUAUUAUCCACUGCUUUACGCCAUCGCGGGGAUCGCUUUCAUGUCGCCAUAUUUUAUAAUGAUGCUCAAGAUGUUGCCACUUCUCAAGGGUUUCUACAUUGAAAGAUACGCCACCGACCCCUACCAACGACCAGUCGUGAGGAUGUAAUGUCUUGUCUAACUAAGGGUGCUUUAUCUCACCAGCAGUGAGGUGAACGUUGCUCAUCAAAAGACUGCCCCUCUUAGAACUAGUGCUCAUCAGUUAACUGUGUAACUGUAGCGCAUCUAUGCUACCUCGGAUAUUGAUCUUGUAUAUAUACUUGUCUUCCAUCAUGAGCGCUCUGCGUCCUUGUUAUUUAUCCAGAUUGUUUGUUUUUCUUCCUGAAUGAUGAUCAUAGUUAAUUUGUAUUGGAUUUGGAUAUUUAUACUUAGGGAAAAAGAAAGUUAUUUCAUUUCCUUUGUGGGCUCUGCCGUGGUAACGAAAAAUCAUUUCAAUUUGGUUUGCUGUGUCCUGUGUGCCUGUGCUAUUCCCUGUCAGUAAUUGAUUUCAGAAACUGGCAAGCUUUGAUAAUGUAAGAGUUACUUGCUAAUUAGCCAAGCAGUCAUAUAUACAUGAUCAUCCAUCGAUUGAUACUUGACUUGGGAUCUUAUAGCUUUAGUACCUUUCUUUGUAAAUGCGUACGUAUGUUUGAUGCUCCGAUGUCCAAUCUGCCCCACUGUGGUGCCUCUUAUUUCUGCAAAUAGUGACUAGACUGCCAAGUGUUGGCUCGCUCAAGAAGGUGCUGGGCCGUUCCACAUUUUCCUGCAUAUUUGUCAAAUUAUGAAAUUGAUGAAAUCAGAAAAUACGUUGUUCAUCCUAUGAUUGUUUUUUUUGAGCUGAUUCAUCCUAUGAAUUUUUUUUGAGCUGAUUCAUCCUAUGAUUGUGAACCAAAUAACGGUGGAAUUUCAGCCAUGAUAAGUGCAUAGGAUCCUCCUUCUAACUGCCACGAUACACAUAACGGUGAGUAAAGAUGAUAAUAUCAUUUAUGAGUUAGUCAACACAAGACAGUGCCACACACUCUAAUUACCUGGAACUUGCAGUAUAAAUGCAGAACCUUAAUCAGCAUGAUCCUCUGACCUUAGAAGCAAAAUAAUCG
rnacentral:lncRNA from 1 species